rnacentral:rRNA from 1 species
GAUUGAACGCUGGCGGCAGGCCUAACACAUGCAAGUCGAACGGUAGCACAGAGAGCUUGCUCUCGGGUGACGAGUGGCGGACGGGUGAGUAAUGUCUGGGAAACUGCCUGAUGGAGGGGGAUAACUACUGGAAACGGUAGCUAAUACCGCAUAAUGUCGCAAGACCAAAGAGGGGGACCUUCGGGCCUCUUGCCAUCAGAUGUGCCCAGAUGGGAUUAGCUAGUAGGUGGGGUAACGGCUCACCUAGGCGACGAUCCCUAGCUGGUCUGAGAGGAUGACCAGCCACACUGGAACUGAGACACGGUCCAGACUCCUACGGGAGGCAGCAGUGGGGAAUAUUGCACAAUGGGCGCAAGCCUGAUGCAGCCAUGCCGCGUGUAUGAAGAAGGCCUUCGGGUUGUAAAGUACUUUCAGCGGGGAGGAAGGUGUUGUGGUUAAUAACCGCACAAUUGACGUUACCCGCAGAAGAACCACCGGCUAACUCCGUGCCAGCAGCCGCGGUAAUACGGAGGGUGCAAGCGUUAUUCGGAAUUACUGGGCGUAAGCGCACGCGGCGGUCGGGCCAGUCGGAUGU